GACGGUGGCGUAAAGGUAUUGUCCAAAGCUUGGAACGCUGAGCUUCAGGGUUCGAAUCCCCGUUCGUCC
rnacentral:tRNA from 1 species